rnacentral:lncRNA from 1 species
GUCUCACCUGGUCCCCAUGAAUAACAAGGCGCGGAACCCCGCUCCCUCUUCAGUCCGGGCAAACACCCCGUCCCGGACACCCACUCCCGUCCGAACCGCGACCCCAGUCAGGGCCUCGACCCCGGCGCACAACCGGUCUCCGGUCCGAACAUCCAUCCGGGUCCGGACUCCUGCUAACCCUGUUCCAAUUCGGUUCCCUACUCCAGCCCCAGCCCCUGCCCCAACUCCAACCCCAGCCCCAACUCCAGCCCCAGUCCCGGCCGCAGCACCGGUGCGGACUCCAGCACCAGUCCGGGCCUCCAUUCAAGGUCGGAGCUUUCCCACGAUCUCUCCAGUGAGAUUCUUACGGAACUUGGCCUUGCCCGCGGCACAGCCCCUUUCUUCCGGGGGUGCUGGCUCUCUCUCAAAGGAUCUCACGCUCGCUCAAAAGCAGAAGCCCUCGAUCCACAGCCUAGCGGAGGCCAUCCAGGGGCCCUUUCCAGUGCUCACUCCCUCGGCCUCCUCGGAGACCCACGGCUCCAUACCGGACCCCGCCCCUCCCACUGACUCCUUGGCUUCCACUGCCAUGGCCUCCAGUACCUUGGACCCCAUUCCGGGCCCCAAACCUACACUAGAGUUCUUGGCCUCCCCGCUGAAGGAAACCCCUGAUUUGGUGGCCUCUGAAGCUAUGGCCUUCGGUACAUUCUACUGAAAAAGACCCUGGAGCAUCAAUUUCCAAACCUUCUGGAGUUUGAGGAGGAAAGAGCUACCCAGGUUACAGGGGAGUUUGAAGUGUUUGUGGAUGGGAAAUUGAUCCAUUCCAAGAAGAAAGGCGAUGGCUUUGUGGAUGAGACUAGUCUGAAGAAACUUGUGGGUGCUAUUGAUGAAGAGAUCAAGAAAAGGUAGCAGCAAUAGUGGAGCUGGACAUGAGUGAGGUGCAAUGGAGGGUCAUGAGGAAGCGUGCAAGAACCUCAGCGGGAUGAUGAGAAGGGCUGAAAUGCUGCCAAACCAGGUCCUUUUCUGAUGGUGGCUGGGGCUUGGUUAGGGCUUGGGAGAGUAAAGAAAAAUAUAAUCUGC